AGAGGGUGCGAACGUUGCUCGGAUUUACUGGGCGUAAAGCGCGUGUAGGCGGACUCGCAAGUCGGUUGUGAAAUCCCUGGGCUCAACCUAGGAACUGCAUCCGAAACUGUUUGUCUUGAGUAAUGGAGAGGGUGGCGGAAUUCCCGGUGUAGAGGUGAAAUUCGUAGAUAUCGGGAGGAACAUCAGUGGCGAAGGCGGCCACCUGGACAUUUACUGACGCUGAGACGCGAAAGCGUGGGGAGCAAACAGGGAUUAGAUACCCUGGUAGUCCACGCCGUAAACGAUGAGCAUUAGGUGCAGCGGAUAUUGACCUCUGCUGUGCCGUAGCUAACGCAUUAAAUGCUCCGCCUGGGGAGUACGGCCGCAAGGCUA
rnacentral:rRNA from 1 species